GAUGAACGCUGGCGGCGUGCCUAAUACAUGCAAGUCGAGCGAACGGACGAGAAGCUUGCUUCUCUGAUGUUAGCGGCGGACGGGUGAGUAACACGUGGAUAACCUACCUAUAAGACUGGGAUAACUUCGGGAAAACCGGAGCUAAUACCGGUUAAUAUUUUGAACCGCAUGGUUCAAAGGUGAAUGACGGUCUUGCUGUAACUUAUAGUUGGAUCCGCGCUGCAUUAGCUAGUUGGUAAGGUAACGGCUUACCAAGGCAACGAUGCAUAGCCGACCUGAGAGGGUGAUCGGCCACACUGGAACUGAGACACGGUCCAGACUCCUACGGGAGGCAGCAGUAGGGAAUCUUCCGCAAUGGGCGAAAGCCUGACGGAGCAACGCCGCGUGAGUGAUGAAGGUCUUCGGAUCGUAAAACUCUGUUAUUAGGGAAGAACAUAUGUGUAAGUAACUGUGCACAUCUUGACGGUACCUAAUCAGAAAGCCACGGCUAACUACGUG
rnacentral:rRNA from 1 species